rnacentral:lncRNA from 1 species
GGGUGACAGAGCCAGACUCUGCCUCAAAAAAAAAAAAAAAAAAAAAAAAAAGCAGUUGAUUUUAAAAUGGUGUCACCCUGUCUCUCCUAGGCUCCUGUUUUCCUAAUAGCAUGAACAGACCCCCCGUCAGCUCCUACCCCUUGGUCUCUGACCUGUUCCUCCUCCGAGGUGACCUCUAUCCUGAAUUUUGAAAACAUAUUAGUAUUGCCUAUUUCUGGACUUUAUGCAGAUGAAGUCAUUGCAUUUGCAAACUCAGGAUGGAGAUUUUAGACCCUCUUCAACCUCCAGGUUUCCUCUUUGCAAAGGCCAGCAGCAGAAGCAAAAGAGAUGGAGCCCAGGUUAGCGUUUAUUUUUCUAUUUACCAGUCAUUUGGAAUUUGGACAUUUUCUGUCCUGUGGUUGUGGUGAGGGUGUGGGUUUUG